rnacentral:misc_RNA from 1 species
CUGUGAUCCAAGUACUGUAACUGAAAAUUUGCCCAUUGACGCUUUUGGCUAGUAAGAACUUCGGGAUUGUAAGUUCCACCUUUCACUUCAUGAGGAGGAGAUGAGAAGCCUUUUAGCACUCUUGAAACAUGGCGUUGUAGCUUCUGAAAUUGGCUAUCACCAUGAUCAUCUUUUGAUGAGAAUACUACAGAUGGCCGUGGUGAACGAGGAGCAGUGGCUGCAGCUGCUGCAGCGGCAACAGCUCUUGCCACAUCUUCUGUGGUCUGCAAGAAAAGUGAUGCUCUCCAACCAGGACUACCAGUAUCUUCAUUUUUAGCCAUCCUUAACAAGCUCUUCUACUUAAGAAAGCGAGUGAUUAAUGGAAAGAAAGAAAGAGGUGUAUGAGAGAUAUGUAAGACGGAUAAAGAGCGAUCUCAGACGGCUACAACAAUGGAAGCAUGAAAU